AUGCAUGUUGUACCCACGCUCAGUUGUGCGCCACACGCCGGAUCCUGUGCUGCUGUUUUCACUAUUUCUCCAUUUCUUUUUAUCAUUCUGUCUUUCUAUCUCUCUCUCUCGCUCUCUCACUCUCAAAGGCUUAUGAUGUUCUGUGGUCACGUACUUAUCGGGCCAACCGCACCAGCAGGCUCACACACUCCAACACAGGCAGGUCGGCACGUACGCGCCCGUCUUUUAACACGUACCACACAGCACCCAACUACCUGCUUCCAGCCACUCACACAUAUACACACAUGUUUGCAACCUAGCUUGUACUUUAAACACUCAGCUCAGAAUACAACCGUGAGAAAACUGCAUUCUCAGCUCACAUUUGUAUUUAGAGAUUAGCAAGAGAUUACAUUUAACAAUGUAGUGUUUUUAAAGAUGAACUUGAAAUUAGUGUUAAAUGAUGGCAAAGGUAAUCUUACUGUAAAAACCGAGGAAAUUAGCAUGUACAACUAAACAUAUCAAAUGAAACUUAUAUAUAACCAAUAUGAUACCAAUGUAUCAUGCAUCCCUAGUUUUUACUUUAUUGCAAGGCUUGGUUGUUGAUAUAAAUGUUAUAACAAAGAUGUUUUUCCAGGAACACAUGAAAUCGCUGUGAUUGUCCAGCUGAUCAGCAGGGCAGGAAAUCAGAAGUAGAGUGGAUAUAGCCUGUUCACACAGUAACAGAAUACAGUUGUCAGUCCUUUUUUAGAUUCCUGAAUAUAGUUAUGUUAAGGCAUUGUUUGGAUAUUAGCACGACUGAUCAUAUUUUAUAACUAAGUCUUUUUUAGAACACAAAUUGCAAUUACAGUAAACCUGUGAAGUGUGAAACUGUCACACCAUACAAUGUGAGUCACUGUAUACUGCUCAUGUGCAUUGCUGUGUGUUGUGAUUUUCAUGUGGGGUUCCAGUAACUUGCAGAGAUGGAGAUAUGAACUUUGGUUUUGUGGUCAGGGCAUGACCCGGAUUUGACACUUAAGUAAAA
ensembl:lncRNA